rnacentral:rRNA from 1 species
UAGGUGGUUUGUCGCGUUGUCCGUGAAAACUCACAGCUUAACUGUGGGCGUGCGGGCGAUACGGGCAGACUGGAGUACUGCAGGGGAGACUGGAAUUCCUGGUGUAGCGGUGGAAUGCGCAGAUAUCAGGAGGAACACCGGUGGCGAAGGCGGGUCUCUGGGCAGUAACUGACGCUGAGGAGCGAAAGCGUGGGGAGCGAACAGGAUUAGAUACCCUGGUAGUCCACGCCGUAAACGGUGGGUACUAGGUGUGGGUUUCCUUCCUUGGGAUCCGUGCCGU